rnacentral:rRNA from 1 species
AGGACGAACGCUGGCGGCGUGCCUAAUACAUGCAAGUCGAACGAGACUUUCCUUGGUGGUAACACCUUUGAUUGUCUAGUGGCGAACGGGUGAGUAACACGUGAGAAACCUGCCCUGAAGACGGGGAUAACAGAAGGAAACUUCUGCUAAUACCCGAUACCCCCACCGGAUCGCAUGGUCUGGUGAGGAAAUGGAUUCCGCUUCAGGAGGGUCUCGCGGCCUAUCAGCUUGUUGGUGAGGUAAUGGCUUACCAAGGCUUGGACGGGUAGCUGGUCUGAGAGGACGAUCAGCCACACUGGGACUGAGACACGGCCCAGACUCCUACGGGAGGCAGCAGUAAGGAAUAUUGCGCAAUGGGCGAAAGCCUGACGCAGCAACGCCGCGUGCGGGAUGAAGGCCCUCGGGUUGUAACCGCUUUCAGUAGGGAAGAAAUGACGGUACCUACAGAAGAAGCCCGGCAACUACGUGCCAGCAGCCGC